UACGUAGGUGGCAAGCGUUGUCCGGAAUUAUUGGGCGUAAAGCGCGCGCAGGCGGUCCUUUAAGUCUGAUGUGAAAGCCCACGGCUCAACCGUGGAGGGUCAUUGGAAACUGGGGGACUUGAGUGCAGAAGAGAAGAGUGGAAUUCCACGUGUAGCGGUGAAAUGCGUAGAGAUGUGGAGGAACACCAGUGGCGAAGGCGACUCUUUGGUCUGUAACUGACGCUGAGGCGCGAAAGCCAGGGGAGCAAACGGG
rnacentral:rRNA from 1 species